rnacentral:misc_RNA from 1 species
GUGAAUCAUCAAAUUUUUGAACGCAUAUUGCACUCUCUGGUAUUCCGGAGAGUAUGCCUAUUUGAGGGUCAUUUGAAAUAAUAUAAAUGCCAAGAUUUCUCGGAUUUUAAAAGGGUUUGUCCAUUAUAUGUGGUUGCUUAAAAUCCAAGACAGGCUCAUUUUCUUGGGUUGCGUGAUAGUUUCUGUUAGCUCGUGACUUAAGCAGUAAUUAUUGAGUGUGUUAAGAAUU